rnacentral:lncRNA from 1 species
CCACGCUGGAGUGCAGUGGCGCGAUCUCGGCUCACUGCAAGCUCCGCCUCCCGGGUUCACGCCAUUCUCCUGCCUCAGCCUCCCGAGUAGCUGGGACUACAGGUGUGUGCCACCAUGCCUGGCUAUUUUCUUUGUAUUUUUAGUAGAGAUGAGUUUUGCCAUGUUGGCCAGGCUGGUUUUGAACUCCUGGCCUCAAACGAUUUGCCUGCCUCAGCCUCCCAAAGUGCUGGGAUUGUAGGUGUGAGCCAUGGGCCCAGCCUAAUUCAUUUUUUACUAUGGUAAAAUAUAUGUAAGAUUUACAAUUUUAACCAUUUUUUUCCAGGAUUGGGAAAACCCUUUAUUUCUCUAUAGAGUUACUGAAUUUUAAAUAUUUAAAAGUGUUUGGUUGAGUGGCAUUACAUACAUUCACAUUGCUGUGAAACCAAGAGCCCUAUCCAGCUUUAGAAAUUUUUCAUCUUCCCAAACUGAAACUCUGCGCCCAUUAACUCACUUUAAGCCAGUAAUGAUUUUCAUGGCCCCCACUCUGAUUCUUCUCUUGCUUUCCUACUCAGCUAACAUUUCAAGGUUCAUCAUCAAAAUCACCCCCUUGCAACUACUCUCAAGCCUCUGGCACUGCUUCUCCUCUGUCAAACCUGCAGGGCAAAACACGAAUUUUGGGUGAACUGAUCACCUGCCUGCUCUUCGCUGCCCUCAUAACAGCUGAAUGUUGCUAGGAGAAAAAAAAAAAUCACACAACUAACUCAGCUGACUGGUUUCACCUUAAAUUCAUGGCCCCAAGCCACGGCAAGGGAUUCAACAAUGCCCAGCAUUGAAACUACCUUGUUUCCCAGUUACUCAGUUCCUUGUCCUGUUGCUCAAGGUGAAGUGUCCAUCUUUCCUGAAAUUAUCCACUACCCCUUCUUUGUUUAAGUCACCGGCCUUGCCUCAGACUUCACUGAGAAAACAGAAGCCGUCAGAAAGUUAAGUCCUAUAUUCUACCUCCAAUUCACCUUGCACUUGUGCCCCCAUUCUUUGUCUUCUGCCACACUGCGUUGUCUUGCUCCCACUAAAGGCAAGUGUUCUUCCUGUGUCUUGAAUUCCUUAAGAAUGCUGCUCCCGGCCAGGCAUGGUGGCUCACACCUAUAAUCCCAACAUUUUGGGAGGCCUAGGUGCGUGGAUCACCUGAGGUCAGGAGUUCGAGACCAGCCUGGCUAACAUGGUGGACCCGUCUCUACUAAAAAUACAAAAUUAGCUGGGUGUGGUGGUGCAUACCUGUAAUUCUAGCUACUUGGGAGGCUGAGGCAGGAGAAUUGCUUGAACCCAAGAGGUGGAGGUUGCAGUGAGCUGAGAUUGCGCCACUGCACUCCAGCCUGGGCAACAAGAGCAAAACUGUCUCCAAAAAAAAAAAAAAAAAAAAGAAUGCUGCUCCCUUGGUAGUCUUGGUCUCUCUUCUGGAUUAGUCUCACCUUCUCUAUUAAAUAUUCUCAUUAGCCUAUCUAGUUCCCAUUGUUUAAAAGAAAAGCCUUCUUCUUUACAUAGGGAGACCCUGUCUCUAUAAAAAAAAUUUUUUUUUAAUUAGUUGGGUUACAGUGGUGCACACCUGUGGUCCCAGCUACUCAGGAGAGGCUGAGGUAGGAGGAUCACUUGAGCCCAGUAGGUUGAGUCUGUGGUAAGCCGUAAUUUGCACCAUUGCACUCCAACCUGGAUGACUGAGUGACAUCUUGUCUUAAAAAAAAAUUAAAAAAAAAAAAAAGCCCUCUUCUUUGACCCCAUCUCCCUCUGAAGCCACUAAGCUGCUUCUCUCCACUUUACAGCAGCAAAAUUUCCCUAACGAGCUGUCGAUAUUCACCUCACUUCCUAUUCUCUCUUCGAAGCAUCCCAAUGUGGCUUGGACCACUUGUCAAAACAGUCACCAUCAUGUUGUCAAAUCCAAAUAGACAUUUCUCUAUUCUCAUUGUGUAACUUCUCAGCAGCAUUUGACAGAGGUGACCAUUCCCUCUUUCUUGAAAAUAAUAAAAUACUCUCCCACUUUAAUGGCUGAACCUUUUCAGUCUCCUUUGCCCAAGCUUUAGCCGUUGUUAGUGUUUUAGGGCUUUUUUUUUUCCCCACACAGAGCUGGCUGUGUGGGAGACCAGAGUUUUAUUACUCCAGUCUCGCAGGGCUUGAUCUUAAGGCCACAAACAAUCUCAAUCAGUUCCAUGACAUGCCAUCUGUAUACUAGUGACUCCCAAAAUUUAUGUCCAGUCUAGAUCACUCCCCUCAGCUCAACUUAAAUAUUCAGUGCCUACUUAACUCUCCGCUUGGAUGCCUCCCAAGUAUUUACACAGAACUCUUGCUACCCACUCCUCUCCACCUGUUCCUCCUCCAGUCUUCUCCAACCAGCAAAUGGUACCAUCAGCAGCCCAAGGCUGGAGCCUGCAACCUGAAGGCACCCUUGAUUCCUCCCUCUCCCUCCACAGCCAACCCAUUAAGCAAAUCCUUCUGAUUCCACCUCCAAAAUACAUAUGUAAAAGUUGCUGUCUACUCUGCUGUAUCUCAUUGCCACUUUACUUGCCUGAGAUACUAUCGAUCUUGGGCUGACUACAAUAGCCUCCUAACUUCCCUGUUUCCUCUCUUCCUCUAAAUAGCCAGUUAUUUUUAAAAACAUUAUCACUGCCCAAAUUAAAACCCCUCUCAUUGCCAUUAGAAUUAAAUCCAAAAAUCCCCCUAUGGAGUAAUACAAGACGACCUAUAGGAUCUCUCCAACUCCAUCUCAUUCCUACCCUAUUCAUAAUUUCUCCCCUUGCUCAGAGGAGCCUUCUCUCCAGUCUAACAACCAGCCUUCCAGGUCUUUGAACUUGUUCCCAGGUCUGAAAUGUCUCCCCAGCUUUUCACAUGGCUAGCACAAGUUCAUGUUUCACGUCUCAGCUCAAAUAUCACCUCUAUGAAAAGACUUUCUUUGACCCUUACUAGCCAAAAUGGUCAUUCCCAACAUACUCUUUUAGAUCCACCAGCCACUUAAUAUUUUUUCUUAAUCUGUCAUUAUCUUGAUUUUUUAACUAUUUUCUGUCCUUCCCCACUAUACUGUAAAUUUCAUGAGUGCAGAGAUCUUGCCGGUCUUAAAAUUCCAACAAGGUUAAAGAAGCUACUGUUUCCCUCUAAGCAGUUUUAGAUUUCCCCCUCCUUUCAAGCUUUAUUGGAUUUUAGUCUAGUCAAAGAUUAUAAUUACUUUGGCAUUUACCAUAAAAAACAAGGGGAGAAAAACCAGAAGUGACUUCCCUUCAAAAACUGGAAGUCACUCCACCCACCUAGUGGUCUAGACUGGACACAGACUGCACAGAGGUAUCCAACAAAUGCUCCUUACAAAAACUUUCCAAUGUGGACAUAUGCAAAGAUGGUAUAAUUCUGACAUCUGCAUCAAAAAUCUAAGUUUUAAACUACUCUCCCUAGCAAUUACUAAACACAACGAUUUGAGAAGAAUCAACAAGAGAAAGCACAAAAUAAAAUCCAUGAUCCUUAAUCCAGAGAAAUUAAUGAUUUCAUCACUGACUUGGUUCUUUCUCAUUUUAGUAAGGUCAUCUAUUCAUCACCUGCUCUAGAUGCUUCUUCCUGACCUGUGUUUUUUGUCUCCAGGCUGGAGUGCAGUGGCGCGAUCUCAGCUCACUACAACCUCCGUCUCCCAGGUUCAAACCAUUCUCCUGUCUCAGCCUCCUGAGUAGCUGAGAUUACAGGCAUGUGCCCACCAAGCCCGGCUAAUUUUUGUAUUUUUAGUAGAAACGGGGUUUCACCACGUUGGUCAGGCUGGUCUCGAACUCCUGACCUCGUGAUCCGCCCACCUCGGCCUCCCGAAGUGCUGGGAUUACAGGUGUGAGCCACUGUGCCUGGCCCUGACCUGUGUUUUUAUCCAUAUUCUGCUAUUAGGUUCCACAUAACUUGACUAUCCUACUUCCCAAAACCCAGAAGAUAUGUCCACAAUUCAAAAUUCAGGAAACAACCUUUUCUUUUAAGGAUUUAUCUUCAGGUCUUUAUAUCAGGGUCUUUUCUACCCUAUUCUCAAUUUCUGGAUCAAUCCUGGAUUCAAUUCUUUUUUUUUUUUUUGAGAUGGGAGUUUCGUUCUUGUUUCCCGGACUGGAGUGCAAUGGUGGGGUCUCGGGCCACUGCAACCUCUGCCUCCCCAGUUCAAGUGAUUCUCCUGCCUCAGCCUCCCGAGUAGCUGGGACUACAGGCGCGUGCCACCACACCCGGCUAAUUUUUGUAUUUUUAGUAGAGACAGGGUUUCACCAUGUUGGCCAGGCUGGUCUUGAACUCCUGACCUCAGGUGAUCUGCCCGCCUCGGCCUCCCAAAGUGCUGGGAUUACAGGUGUGAGCCACUGUGCCCAGCCUUGGCAGACAUUUAAUAUGCUAUUUUCUUUUGUCUUUUUUUUUUUUUUUUAAUGCACUAAAUGCAUUUCAUGACCUCACUGGCUUGGUACCUGCAUUUUGAAAACGCUCGUUUUUUUUGUUUGUUUUUUGUUUUUUUCUGAGACAGAGUCUCACUCUGUUGCUCAGGCUGGAGUGCAGUGGUGUAAUCUUGGCUCACUGCAACCUCC